AAAAAAUAUCCUCACAUUUAGACAACAUCUUCAUCAGCCGAGGGUGAUAUGGACGCCCUGACUUUUAAUUCAAAGCGCUGGAAAGCUUCCGAAUUUUCUGAACUAAAUGAUCAGGUCUGUCGAUUGAAAGGAUACAUCAAGACAAUGAAGGCUGAGCUAAAUGACGCAGAAGAAGAGAUCAGAAAGAAUCAACGUACUAUUUUCAAUUUGGAGGAAGAGGUGAAAAAUUUUUAUGAUGCCCUCAAAAGUAGAAGGACUCAUUUUGAUG